AGGGUUCGAUUCUGGCGUCAGGAUGAACGCUGGCGGCGUGCUUAACACAUGCAAGUCGAACGGACUGCGAGGAGCCUAGCUCCUCAAAGUUAGUGGCGGACGGGUGAGUAACGCGUGGGUAACCUGCCUUAUACUGGGGAAUAACACAGAGAAAUCUGUGCUAAAACCGCAUAAGCUUACAAGGUCGUAUGACCUAGUAAGAAAAACUUUGGUGGUAUAAGAUGGGCCCGCGUCCGAUUAGCUAGUUGGUAGGAUAACAGCCUACCAAGGCAACGAUCGGUAACCGGCCUGAGAGGGUGACCGGUCACACUGGGACUGAGACACGGCCCAGACUCCUACGGGAGGCAGCAGUGGGGAAUAUUGCACAAUGGAGGAAACUCUGAAUGCAGCAACGCCGCGUGAAGGAUGAAGGUUUUCGGAUCGUAAACUUCUAUCAGCAGGGAAGAAAACAAUGACAGUACCUGACUAAGAAGCCCCGGCUAACUACGUGCCAGCCGCGGC
rnacentral:rRNA from 1 species